rnacentral:lncRNA from 1 species
CUCCAGGAAUUAGAAGGUGUCCAUUUUCCCCAUUUUCUGGAUUACUUAAAUGCGUGUUUAAUUAUAUUCCUUUUUUUUUUUUUAGUUUUCCUUAUUUGAGCUUUAUAGUUGAAAAGAAUAUGAUAGAUAUAGUCCUUGGUCCCACAAAUUUUAAAAGCUAACUGGAUGAGCAUGUAGAGCCACUGUGCUGCCCACCUCGGGAUGGAGUAUUUCCAGGGUAGGAACUGAUUUUUUUGUUGUUGAGAAUAGUUUGCAUUCAGUUCACUUAACUUUUUCAAAUUGCAUUUAUAGCCAACAUUUUUAAGCCUCAUAGUAUUCCUAUGAGAAAGAUAGGGCAAGUAUAGGCAAAUCUCAUUUUCUCACCAGAAUGUCUCUGGAAACUGCAUCACAAGGUACCUCGCAGCCUUCUUGUGCUCAGGAACACUAGACAGCUCUUCAGCACUGCACUAGGUGGCCAUUUUAAACAGUGAAAUCACUGACAAAGAGUACAAAAAUGUGAAAAAUGUGGCAUUAAGGACACCGUGAAAAGGACACUUGUUUACCGUCUGAGAACUGAAACAAGAAGGCAGAGCAUCGCAUAUUCAAUCUUAGCUGGGACCGUGUGGGUUGUGCCUCAAAAUUUUCCCUGCGCUGAGCAUGUUCACAAAUGAUCAGGAAAGCGCUGAAGACUAGCCCUGAACUAACAUCCGCUGCCAAUCCUCUUCUUUUUUUGCUGAGGAAGACUGGCCCUGAGCUAACAUCCAUGCCCAUCUUCCUCUACUUUGUAUAUAUGUCGGACAUCUGCCACAGCAUGGCUUGACAAGCGGUGCAUAGGUCUGCACCUGGGAUCCAAACUGGCAAACCCCAGGCUGCUGAAGUGGAAUGUGCAAACUUAACCACUGCACCACUGGGCCGGCCCCUCAAAUGCAUUUUUAAUUGAGCCUUGUUUAAGAAGAAUAUUAGCACAUAUUCCUAAUUAUUAUGUGGAAAUAGAAUUGUGCAUCAAAGUGUAUGGACAUUGUAAAGACUUUUUGAUGAUUAUUGCUAAGUUUCUUUCAAGAAGCUUAUAUUAAUUUACUUUUCCCACCAGCUGUGUCCAAAUGCCUGUGUCCCUACCUUUUUGUAAGCAGGACAUGACCUCAAGGCUUUACCUUAAGUUGCUUCAUUUUAGCAUGUAAAU